CCAUGUUGAACGGAGACGCCGAUGGUUGCCCUUCAAGCACCAACAAAUUGGAAAUUCCAAGCUCUGCUGAGAUUACGAGCAGAGUGGAAAGGGAAUCAACACCAUCACGCCAAAUCAUUGAAGGAGCAAUCCAAUAGCUAAAAACUACAGUGAUCUCACUAUCCACCAAGUAUUGUUAUUUUCUCUACCUACGUCCUAAUCAGGCCCUAGCAGAGCUUGAACCUUCUUCAGCAAAUAAGGGUCACUGAGUUCUUAUAGUCAGUCACUGGACCACAAUGGUUGAUAUCCUUCAAUGGACACUGGAAGUAAUAUGAGCUACAGAUAUGCGUCUUAAUGAGGGGUUAUUUCUUUCCUCAACAAGUUACAGUACAGUAG